UAUUGCGCAAUGGGCGAAAGCCUGACGCAGCGACGCCGCGUGAGGGAUGAAGGUCUUCGGAUCGUAAACCUCUGUCAGAGGGGAAGAAGUGUGUCUAUUCAAAUAGGGUAGGCAUUUGACGGUACCCUCAAAGGAAGCACCGGCUAACUCCGUGCCAGCAGCCGCGGUAAUACGGAGGGUGCGAGCGUUAAUCGGAAUUACUGGGCGUAAAGCGCACGUAGGUGGUUUUGUAAGUCAGGGGUGAAAUCCCACCGCUCAACGGUGGAACAGCCUUUGAUACUGCAUCACUAGAGUAUCGGAGAAGGUGGCGGAAUUCUAGGUGUAGGAGUGAAAUCCGUAGAUAUCUGGAGGAACACCGGUGGCGAAGGCGGCCACCUGGACGAAAACUGACACUGAGGUGCGAAAGCAUGGGGAGCAAAAAAGGUUAGAUACCCUGGUAGUCCAUACUGUAAACGAUGGGUGCUAGGUGCUGAGGAGAUAAAUUUUCAGUGCCGUAGUUAACGCGUUAAGCACCCCGCCUGGGGAGUACGGUCGCAAGGCUGAAACUCAAAGAAAUUGACGGGGGCCCGCACAAGCGGUGGAGUAUGUGGUUUAAUUCGAUGCAACGCGAAGAACCUUACCCAGGCUUGACAUCCAGGGGACCUCUAGGAAAUUAGAGGGUGCCCUUCGGGGAGCCCUGAGACAGGUGCUGCAUGGCUGUCGUCAGCUCGUGCCGUGAGGUGUUGGGUUAAGUCCCGCAACGAGCGCAACCCUUAUCUUUAGUUGCCAGCGAGUAAAGUUGGGCACUCUAGAGAGGCUGCCCCGGUUAACGGGGAGGAAGGUGGGGACGACGUCAAGUCAUCAUGGCCCUUACGCCUGGGGCUACACACGUACUACAAUGGUGCGCACAAAGGGAAGCAAGACCGUGAGGUGGAGCCAAUCCCAAAAAACGCAUCUCAGUCCGGAUUGGAGUCUGCAACUCGACUCCAUGAAGUCGGAAUCGCUAGUAAUUCGAGAUCAGCAUGCUCGGGUGAAUGCGUUCCCGGGCCUUGUACACACCGCCCGUCACACCACGAAAGUUGGUUU
rnacentral:rRNA from 1 species